CCCCCCCCCCCCACAUACUCAAGAAGGCUGAGAGGACCAUGUGAACUCUAGUACUGUGAAUGAGUCCACUUGUUCCCAUUAAUAAAUGAAAUAUACAAUCUAUGUAUUUUAUUGGACAUAGAUUAUAUAUUGUAUCCUAUCUGUUUUUUAUUACAAAUUAAGAUGAGAGCUCACCGACAUGGAAAGAAGCGAUCUUGAUAGAUGGAAGAGAAGCAUAUAAUAAGUGGAUACUAAUAAUUUGCUGACUGUUUUUGUUUUUCUUAUUUCAAUUAAAAAAAAAAUUCGCAUUUGUGUGUGUGUAUGAGGGAGAAAGAACGAAAACAAAAUCCCAUUGUGAUCGGCUGUUGUCUUUGCAAGACGCGUUGAGUAAAUGAAUCUAGUUUGGACGUGAAGGCUUCCGUAGUCAUAUGCCUAGUCUCCGUCUUGUUCUGUGAUUGAGGAAGACGCCGAGACGCUGCUCUGAAUGUGAGCUUUGGUCUUCGCCAAAGGACACAAACGUAAGCCGAGAGUUUGGUGGCAUUGGGCCAUGGAUACGUGCAUACUGAUCAUGAGCACAGGGAGUCAUCAUCUGCCAGCACACAGUCGGAGAAAAGAGGCGGGCCGUGCGACUGUGCAGGCAGCAGGCGCUUUUCGGCACUCCGGAGAACAAACUGGCCUCAGAUUCCUUCCCUGAGCUUGGACGAUGGUACAGCUGGAGAGGACUAUUGUGAAAGCACUAGCAGUCAUAUCAGCUUGGUUGCAGACAAUAG